GCUAGGACUGAAGUCAAGACGAAAACAAAGAUCAUGAUGUCCAUGAAAGGGACAGGUAGAGAGAAGCAGACAAGGGGCAGGGAGUAAAAUGUGGUAAGGGAUUGAGUGUGGGAGGAGGAGGAUGUCAGAGGUCUUGAUCCAGGGAGGAGAGGCGUGCCAGGGACAGAGGGCAGGGGCACACAGGGGCAGGGGAGCUGCUGGCGAGGGUGAGUCGUGUCUCCGUGAGCUGAGUUUGAGGUGCUGGUGGAGCCACUCACACCACAGGGUCUGAGGCAGGAGGCAAGGGGAGCUUUGGCAAAGGGCCUCCCCCUCCUGCACCUCUCGCAUCAGGGAAAGAGAUCUUUCUUGGAGGCGGGCCCUGGUCACAUGUAAAGCCCUGGACCACCACUGCACAGGGGAGAUGCCCACCGACGAGGAGCAGCCACCACCAGACACAAGGGCUCUGCUAGCCACUGCGGGGCUGGCGUGGACAGACGUCACAUGGUAGGUUCCCUGUGGGGAAUGAGCCUUAACAGAUACCCACUUCAAAGGGCUUUGUUUUCUCCAAUUGCAGCACGGCAUCUAGUGGAGGAGCCUGUGUAGCCAGAGAGCAGCACGGGGUGAAAUCAGAACCUUCCCUUCUCCACGUCACCCGGGUCUUCAAUCCUGCCGACACCACCUGGAAAAGCACGUGCUGUGAAGCCCCUGGUAGAGCAUUGUCAAUAGAGCCUUUCCAAUGGACCUUCCUGCCCUGAAGGUCUAUUCCCACUUGGUUCCUGACCAUCACAAAAGAGUCUGCAAAGUGCCAAAGCUUCCUGGAGAAGGAGAUUCCUUCCCUCCAGAGCUAUCCAGGAGAAGCCAGGAAGAUCUAACUGCUCAGAGUGAGGACUCUUCAGCCCUUGGCACAGCCAUGAAAACAGCAUGGGGACUGGAAUGGCUUCGGAACCCGAAGAGAUCAAAUGUUGCAGAGCAGGUGCAUGAAAGCUCUGCGGGGCUUCAGUUCUCCUGAGCACCUGGGUCGGCAGGGCCCACAGUACAACAGGGCAGUAAUUAUUUCUCUCUCCUGCAAGAUGCACGGGACCUUUUAAUGCUAGAAACAGCAUGUGCUUUGAAAAGAAAAGUUGGACAAUACGAGUUGAAAGAAGAAGAAAUCAUUGUCAGCCGGCAGGAGAUUAAACGAUGCUGGGACCAUUCCCCAGGCGGCUGAGGGGCCGCACAUCUCCGCUGGCCCUGCUGCCUCAAGCCAAGAGCAGUGCCCCGCGGAGGCAUCCCCGUGUGCCCCUUCAGCCAAUGGUAGACUUUCCUCUAACACGAGGGUCAUGGCCCGCCAGCCAGAUCUGGCCCACCCCUGCUUUUGUAUGGUCGAACAAGCAAGAAUGGUUUUUCCUUUUUUUUUUUUUUCUCCCAUUUAUAAUGGUUGGAAAAGUCAAAAGGGGAAGACCAUUUCAUAAACAUGAAAACGAUAUCAAAUUUGAAGUCCAUGUCCAUAAUAAGGUGUUAGUGGAGCACGGCCACCCUCGUCCAUGUGUGUAUAGGCUGAGGCUGCUCUCGCGCUGCAGGGCCGGAGCUGAGCGCCCUCCACUGACAAUCUGGUCUUGUGAUGCAUGGAGAAAAUGGAAACGCAGAACGGAACCCCUUACCCUGUCCCCCCCAAAUCUCCUAUUCUACGGGCAUCUCUGCCAGUCCUUCCUGUCUUCUCUCCUGCUACAAGGGAUGAAGUUUCCCUGUUCCCAUCAAAGCUGAAACCCUGCCUUCUCUAGAAGACCCCUCCUGCUUUUCAGUAACCUGUUAUCUUUCUCUUUCCUCCACCCUCUCUUUUCUCCUUUUUGACUAGAUCAUUCUAAUUAGGACACAAACAAGCUCUAAAAUCAUUCCCUAAAACGGCACCCCUCCCCCUGCAGCUCCUCACUGCUCUGCUCCCCUCCCCAGGGAGCCUCGUUUUGUCAGUGGGCCACCAGCCCACCUCCUGUCCUUCCUGUCCUCACCCCUCCCCUGAAUCUGAGCUUGUAAGGGCCACCU